AGCAUAUGACAGUCUCGUUUCCGGGGAAGUCAAACCUCUCUUCUGCUUCUUUUUAUAACCUUUAAGUUAAAUCAGAAUCCAGAUAAGCCUGGAUCCAAGGAUGAUAUGACCACAGCAAGCACCAUGGGACCCUCUAGAGAAAUCAGGAAGACUUUUCGAAACAUGGUGUGAUGUCUACUGCUGGAGACAGGCCAUGAGGUCCAGGGAAGAGGGGGUGGCCUGAUCCGGGGCAAUGAAGGUGCAAUGCUGAAGAAUCAGCCGGAGGAGAGAAGCAGCAGGCACCAUGGAAAAAACAAAAACGAAGCAAGGAGAGAAUGAACAUAUGACGAUGAAUAACCCUUCAACACAGAUUUACCAGUUGCAGGCCCUGGCCUCUGAACUCAAAACUGGUUUCACAGAAGCAAUGCAAGAACUGUCCAGAAUUCAACAUGGAGAAUAUGCUUUGGAAGAGAAGGUUAAGAGCUGCAAAUGUUCCAUGGAAGAAAAAGUUACUGAGAUGAAGAAUUCAUUAAACUAUUUCAAGGAAGAGCUAAGCAAUGCUAUGUCAAUGAUACAGGCCAUCACUUCCAAACAAGAAGAAAUGCAACAGAAAAUUGAACAGCUUCAACAGGAGAAGCGAAGAGAAUCUCGAAAAGUAAAAGCCAAGAAAAUGCAAAAAGAAGAACACGGCCCACAGGCUGGGCCUGGUCAAGCACAAGGAAGUCCCUUCCGUUCAAUCAACGUCCCUGAGCCUGUUAUUCCAAAUGAAGACUUUACAAACAUUCUGCCUUCUCAAGCCUAUGAAAAAGCCCAAGAGUCCAGAUCCAUGCAUAUAGGAGACAGUAAUGUGAAAGGGAUGAUGGGUCCUGGAAUGAACCCAACAACUCCAGAAUCAGAAGAAAACCUCAAGCCUUGCCUCCCAGCUGAUAUCCAGUCUAAGGGCCAUCUGCCAUCUGGUGUGUGGAGGCAACCUAAGGAUGGUAAAGAGUGGGGUGAGGAAUAUGUCACAAAAGACCACCCAGAUAAACUCAAGGAAGUUGGCCAGGGCAGACAUAGCUCCUUGGAAAAUGUUUUAUGUGAAACCUCUUUAGCUGCUAAAAGACAGACUGUGGCUCUGGAACUGCUUGAAUCAGAAAGAAAGUAUGUCAUUAACAUCUCUCUCAUCCUGAAGAUCAAGGCAACAUUCCAGGGGUCAGAUGGAAAGAGGAAUUCCAAAGAGAGAAGCCUCUUUCCUGGCUCUUUACGGUACCUUGUCCAGCAGCACUUGGAUUUGCUUCAUGCUCUGCAGGAAAGGGUCCUGAAGUGGCCACGCCAAGGAGUCCUUGGAGAUUUAUUCCUUAAAUUAACAAAUGAUGAGAAUAAUUUCUUGGAUUAUUAUGUUGCCUACCUGAGGGACCUGCCUGAAUGCAUCUCUUUGGUUCACGUCGUUGUUCUGAAGGAGGGUGAUGAAGAGAUUAAAUCUGACAUCUAUACACUGUUCUUUCACAUAGUCCAGCGCAUCCCUGAAUAUCUGAUACAUCUGCAGAAUGUCCUGAAGUUCACAGAGCAGGAACACCCUGACUAUUACCUACUUCUGGUGUGUGUUCAGCGUCUUCGAGUAUUUAUCUCACACUACACCCUGCUGUUUCAAUGCAAUGAGGAUUUGCUUAUUCAGAAACGGAAAAAGCUCAAGAAGUCAUCCAUGGCAAAACUGUACAAAGGGCUGGCUUCCCAGUGUGCAAAUGCCGGGCAAGAUGCUUCCCCCACUGCAGGCUCUGAAGCUGUCCGUGACAGUGGGAUCCAUUCGGAAGAGAUGUUGCAACCCUACCCUUCUGCUCCAAGUUCUGGCCCUCCCGUCACACAUUUGCUGCCCCCAAUGAAGAAAAGCCAACAACAGCAAAGCUUGAUGGAGAGUAUGCAGCCGGGGAAGCCCAGUGACUGGGAGAUGGAGAGCAGGAAGCACGAGAGGCCCGAGAACCUCCUGGCGCCCUCGCAGUUUUGUGCCGCCGAGCAGGACGUGAAGGCGCUCGCCGGGCCCUUGCAGGCCAUCCCGGAGAUGGACUAUGAGCCCUCGCCGGCCGAGCCCUCGUUGGGCAACGUGGAGCGCUCCUUGCGCGCCCCGGCCGAGCUCCUGUCCGACGGCCGCAGCUUCGUGCCCUCGGCUUACGAGGAGUUUGAAUAUGGCGGCGAGAUCUUCGCGCUGCCCGCGCCCUACGACGAGGAGCCUUUCCAGGCCCCGGCCCUCUUCGAGAACUGCUCGCCCGCCUCUUCCGAGUCCAGCUUGGACAUAUGCUUCCUCCGCCCUGUCAGCUUCGCUAUGGAGGCCGAGCGGCCAGAGCACCCGCUACAACAGCUGCCCAAGAGCGCCACGUCGCCCGCGAGCAGCAGCGGCGCCUACAAGCUCGAGGCGGCUACGCAGGCGCACGGCAAGGCCAAGCCGCUGAGCCGCUCGCUCAAGGAGUUCCCGCGCGCACCGCCCCCCGAGGGCGUGGCCCCGCGCCUCUACAGCACGCGCAGCAGCAGCGGCGGCCGCGCGCCGCUCAAAGCCGAGCGUGCCGCGCAGCCGCACGGCCCGGCCGCUGUCGCCACGGCUCGCGGUGUGCCCAGGGCCUAUUUCCCCCAACAGAGGUCCCAAAGCGAAAAACAGACCUAUUUGGAAGUAAGGAGGGAGAUGCAUUUAGAAGACACCACCAGAUUCUGUCCAAAGGAAGAAAGAGAAAGUGAACAAACAUCUUUCAGCGAUCAAAACCCCAGGCAAGACCAGAAAGGGGGCUUUCGCAGCUCCUUCCGCAAGCUCUUUAAAAAGAAAAAUGGGAACGCAUCUGGUGAAGAUUUCUGUGGUCCUUGGGGCUGGUGGUGACAGCAAAGCUUUCCCAUUUCCAGUUACAGAGUUCCUCAAACGUUAAAGACUAAUGUCUCAACCAGAAGAAAAGAUUUUAAAACAGAAGGCUGUACAAGAUUUUAAAACUGAGAUUUAUAUCGAUUUCAUCACAGUCCUCCCUUUCAAGAAUCUUCUUCCUGUUCUGCAAAUCUAUUUGUAAGUCUUCUUCCAGAUUUUAGGAAGUAGCAGCUGUACCUUCCUG